rnacentral:lncRNA from 1 species
UGACACACUUGUGUCCAUUGAUCUCUAAGAGCAGCUGGGGAUUGUGGGUAAAGAAAGCUUUUUAUGAUUUACUGAAGAUAAUCAAUGCCUUCACAAUCUGGAACCCAAAGAUUGGAUCUUCUAAGAACAUCAGAGAAAGAAUCUAGAACCUAAAGAUUGGAUCUUCUGAGAACACCAGAGAAAGACUGACCUUGCUCUCCACACUGCAAUAAAACUUUGUGAUCUUGAACCUUAGGUUCAUAAUCUCACAAAUGAGAAGGCUCCCUCCACACUCUUGGAACUGUACACCCACUGAAACCCUUAAGAUCAAAAGAAACUGCCUCUGUGCAGUUGAAGACUAAAUCAAUUUUUCAGCCAUAAAUGAGCAUGCUAACAAAGAUCUUGGAAUUUGUAUUUAUGGUAAAAUGCUUUACAUGCAUUCUCAUUGAGGCAUAUGAGAUUCUUAAAUUUAAUUUUUGUUCUUGUUCCUGCCUCAAAUCCACCAAUGACUUUUCAUUGACGUUAGAAUGAACAUUAAACUCUGUAACAAAACCAUGUGGUCCCUGUUGAUGUAUUCAGCCUUAUCUGAAACCCUACUCUUUCUCUACAACAGUGAUCUUCUUUCAGUGUUUUAUGUAUACUAUUAAUUUCCUUCCAAUUUCAAAUUCUUUGCCUAUGCUAAGAAUUUCUUUCCUUUUCCUCUUCAUUUACCUGGUCUGCAAAUCUCACCCUGAAAGUCACUUCCUCUAGAAAGAAUUCUCUGUCCUCCCCCACAGUCC